AGAGUUUGAUCCUGGCUCAGAGCGAACGCUGGCGGCGUGCCUAACACAUGCAAGUCGAACGCUGAACUCCUGAAUCUUCGGAUUUGGGAGCUAGGCGUGGCGCACGGGUGAGUAACGCGUGGAUAACCUGCCCACUAGUGGGGAAUAACCCCGGGAAACUGGGGCUAAUACCGCAUAAUCUUUUCCUGACACCGGUCGGGAAAUGCAAAGCCCGCAAGGGCGCUGGUGGAGGGAUCCGCGUCUGAUCAGCUAGUUGGUGAGGUAACGGCUCACCAAGGCAGAGACCGGUAGCCGGUCUGAGAGGACGAUCGGCCACACUGGAACUGAGACACGGUCCAGACUCCUACGGGAGGCAGCAGUGAGGAAUAUUGCGCAAUGGGGGAAACCCUAACGCAGCGACGCCGCGUGGAGGACGACGCACUUCGGGGUGUAAACUCCUUUCGACGGGGACGAAUGCCCGCAAGGGUUUGACGGUACCCGUAUAAGAAGCCCCGGCUAACUACGUGCCAGCAGCCGCGGUAAUACGUAGGGGGCAAGCGUUGCUCGGAAUUACUGGGCGUAAAGGGUCCGUAGGCGGUGGGGCGUGUCGGUUGUGAAAUCUCCCGGCUUAACCGGGAGGGUGCGACCGAAACUGCUCCGCUAGAGGGCCGGAGAGGCGAGUGGAAUUGCUGGUGUAGCGGUGAAAUGCGUAGAGAUCAGCAGGAACACCGGAGGCGAAGGCGGCUCGCUGGACGGCACCUGACGCUGAGGGACGAAAGCUAGGGGAGCAAACAGGAUUAGAUACCCUGGUAGUCCUAGCCCUAAACGAUGGACACUAGUAUGGGGAGUAUCGACCCUCUCCGUGCCGAAGCUAACGCAUUAAGUGUCCCGCCUGGGGACUACGGCCGCAAGGCUAAAACUCAAAGGAAUUGACGGGGGCCCGCACAAGCAGCGGAGCGUGUGGUUUAUUUCGAUGCACACGAAGAACCUUACCAGGGCUUGACAUGCUGAAGUAGGAACCGAAGGGGACGACCUGUAGUCAGACAGCACAGGUGCUGCAUGCUGUCGUCAGCUCGUGCGUGAAGUGUUCGAUAAGUCCCAUAACGAGGCCACCCUUGUCGCUAGUCUUCUCUUAGCGGAACUGCUGCAAACGGAGACGUCUGCGAUUAGACCUCAGUCAGCAUUGUCCUAUAUGCCCUGGGCUUCACA
rnacentral:rRNA from 1 species